rnacentral:rRNA from 1 species
AUUGAACGCUGGCGGCAGGCCUAACACAUGCAAGUCGAGCGAGCGGCGGACGUGUGAGUAAUGUAUGGGGACUGCCUGAUGGCGGGGGAUAACUUCUGGAAACGGUCGCUAAUACCGCAUUCCAUCAUAUCACCCAUAUGGUAUUAGCUAGUAGGUAGGGUAACGGCUCACCUAGGCGACGAUCCCUAGCUGGUCUGAGAGGAUGAUCAGCCAAACUGGGACUGAGACACGGCCCAGACGCCUACGGAGGCAGCAGUGGGGAAUAUUGCACAAUGGGCGCAAGCCUGAUGCAGCCAUGCCGCGUGUAGGAAGAAGGCCCUAGGGUUGUAAAGUACUUUCAGUCGGGAGGCGUUACCGACAGAAGAAGCACCGGCUAACUCCGUGCCAGCAGCCGCGGUAAUUC